AGAGUUUGAUCCUGGCUCAGGAUGAACGCUGGCGGUCUGCUUAACACAUGCAAGUCGAACGCAACCUUUAGGGGUUGAGUGGCGGACGGGUGAGUAACGCGUGAGAAUCUGCCUUCAGGUUGGGGACAACCCCUGGAAACGGGGGCUAAUACCGAAUGUGCGCAACGUGAAAGAUUUAUCGCCUGAAGAUGAGCUCGCGUCUGAUUAGCUAGUUGGUGAGGUAAAAGCUUACCAAGGCGACGAUCAGUAGCUGGUCUGAGAGGAUGACCAGCCACACUGGGACUGAGACACGGCCCAGACUCCUACGGGAGGCAGCAGUGGGGAAUUUUCCGCAAUGGGCGAAAGCCUGACGGAGCAAGACCGCGUGAGGGAGGAAGGCUCUUGGGUUGUAAACCUCUUUUCUCAGGGAAGAAUUCAAUGACGGUACCUGAGGAAUCAGCCUCGGCUAACUCCGUGCCAGCAGCCGCGGUAAUACGGAGGAGGCAAGCGUUAUCCGGAAUUAUUGGGCGUAAAGCGUCCGCAGGUGGCACUUCAAGUCUGCCGUCUAAGACUGGGGCUUAACCCUGGAAAGGCGGUGGAAACUGAAGCGCUAGAGUGCGGUAGGGGUAGAGGGAAUUCCCGGUGUAGCGGUGAAAUGCGUAGAGAUCGGGAAGAACAUCGGUGGCGAAAGCGCUCUACUGGACCGCAACUGACACUCAGGGACGAAAGCUAGGGGAGCGAAUGGGAUUUAGAUACCCCAGUAGUCCUAGCCGUAAACGAUGGAUACUAGGUGUGGCUCGUAUCGACCCGAGCCGUGUCGUAGCUAACGCGUUAAGUUAUCCCGCCUGGGGAGUACGCUCGCAAGAGUGAAACUUCAAAAGGAAUGACGGGGG
rnacentral:rRNA from 1 species